AUCAAAUGAGGAAAUAUGUAUGAAGUACUAUGUGUAUGUAUACAAAGUACACAGUAGACCUACAAAAAAAUGAUAGCUAUUACUAAUUGUGUGUGUCUGUGUAUAUAACAUUGUACAUGUAUACUUAUCAUACGUGUGUAUAUAUAAGGUAUCUUAUGGCAAAGAAAUAUGAGAAGCAUUCUGGUUUGGGUUUUGGGUUUAUUGGAGGAGGUGAUUAAUAGCAUAUGAAAUGCUGUAGGUGUCAGACCCCCAAUAAUGAGCCCAGAAAACAGUGCAACAUGAUAAAGUUAUCCUGUCUUCUUGGUUAAUGGCUUUCCAAACACACUGAGAGUCAGUUUAGAUAAAAUAUUGUGCAAGUGUCUGUGUGUCAAAGAAAAAUUUCACAGAACAGAGUUUGGCUGAAAAAGAGGAAGACAUAAUUCAAGUCUUCUUCAAGGGGAGAGAGAACUUAUCUUCCCUAGAAACAAAAAAAGCAGGAAGGUUUCUAAGGGCUGAGGUUAGCUAGUUGAAAAGUACUGGAGGACAUUAGUUUGGUCAAUGUGAUUAGGCCAUCUGUGUUUGCUGACACCAGUCCAGGUUCCUACCCUCCUACAGAAACUGGGAGACCUGGAUGCUACCUUUCUUGAUGAUAACAUUUCAAAAGAUGUCUCCCAGGUCCCCGAAACAGAUGGUUCUCAGUUGUAAAAGGGGCAAGAGGCUAGGAAAAGAUUUACAUCUCAGAUGGGCAAAUAAAGAAUUUACAAUUGUAAGUUUUCUAAAGUAAAUGCUCUAAGACAAGGGAGGUCAAUGACCUACUGUCACUAAGAAACCUGUCUAAAGUUUAGUCAAGCUGAGGAAAAUAAGGCCAUCUUGGUCAUGUUCCUGACUUAGCAGGAUCAGUCAAUGUAUCAGUCAGAGAGAGCCACCUAAGGCAUGUUUUCCCUGAUGCCACCAGGAACUACCUGUCCAAAACAAGUUCCCCACCCCCAUCUGUAAUAACCUGUCUCCUUUCUUACCUGUCUGGACGUUCCAACCAUUUGAGUCAUUCCCCUGUGUCAAAUGACAAAGGUGAGUGCACAACUCAUAGAAGGCCACUGUUACAGUGCUGGUGAGAUCUGGGGGACAGCAAUGAAGGACCUAUCUGCACCCCGCUGUCAGGGCAAGGCCCUCGGCAAAAUUUUGAGGUGAGUCAUCAUGACGUUGCAGAACUGGGUCCAAAGGCUGCCUGAUUCAAGCAGGAUGCUAACACUACUGAACCAGACCUGUGGUCUCAUCAAGAAGAAGGCUGAUUUUGAACUACCCUUUUGGUAGCUGUUGUAUGUUGGGCUCAUCUUUCAGGGCCUUCACCACAUCUUUCCCAGGCUUAAUAUUUGAGAAGUGAAGACAGAAACAGUAAAAUUAAGAUGAAAGAA